rnacentral:rRNA from 1 species
AUGCAGUUGAGGUAGGCGGAAUGUGUAAUGUAGCGGUGAAAUGCUUAGAUAUUACCCAGAACACCGAUUGCGAAGGCAGCUUACUAAACUGUGAUUGACGCUGAGGCACGAAAGCGUGGGGAGCGAACAGGAUUAGAUACCCUGGUAGUCCACGCUGUAAACUAUGAUCACUCGUUGUUGGCAAUACAUCGUCAGCGACUGAGCGAAAGCAUUAAGUGAUCCACCUGGGGAGUACGAUCGCAAGAUUGAAACUCAAAGGAAUUGACGGGGGCCCGCACAAGCGGAGGAACAUGUGGUUUAAUUCGAUGAUACGCGAGGAACCUUACCUGGGCUUAAAUGCAUAACGACGGACCGGGAAACUGGUCUUUCUUCGGACGGCAUGCAAGGUGCUGCAUGGCUGUCGUCAGCUCGUGCCGUGAGGUGUCGGGUUAAGUCCCAUAACGAGCGCAACCCUUAUCAUUAGUUGCCAGCGGGUAAUGCCGGGGACUCUAAUGAAACUGCCGGUGUAAACCGAGAGGAAGGUGGGGAUGACGUCAAGUCAGCACGGCCCUUAUGUCCAGGGCUACACACGUGUUACAAUGGUCAGUACAGAGGGAAGCUACCAGGCGACUGGAUGCUAAUCUCAAAAACUGGUCUCAGUUCGGAUCGGAGUCUGCAACUCGACUUCGUGAAGUUGGAUUCGCUAGUAAUCGCGCAUCAGCCAUGGCGCGGUGAUACGUUCCCGGGCCUUGUACACACCGCCCGUCAAGCCAUGGAAGCACGGGGGUACACUGAAGUUCGUAACCGCAAGGAGCGACACUAGGGUAAAACUGGUAACUGGGGCUAAGUCGU